rnacentral:rRNA from 1 species
CUACGCACUCCUACGGGAGGCAGCAUGGGGGAAUAUUGCACAAUGGGCGCAAGCCUGAUGCAGCCAUGCCGCGUGUAUGAAGAAGGCCUUCGGGUUGUAAAGUACUUUCAGCAGUGAGGAAGGUGGGUAUGUUAAUAGCAUAUUCAUUUGACGUUAGCUGCAGAAGAAGCACCGGCUAACUCCGUGCCAGCAGCCGCGGUAAUACGGAGGGUGCGAGCGUUAAUCGGAAUUACUGGGCGUAAAGCGCAUGCAGGUGGUUUGUUAAGUCAGAUGUGAAAGCCCGGGGCUCAACCUCGGAAUUGCAUUUGAAACUGGCAAACUAGAGUACUGUAGAGGGGGUAGAAUUUCAGGUGUAGCGGUGAAAUGCGUAGAGAUCUGAAGGAAUACCGGUGGCGAAGGCGGCCCCCUGGACAGAUACUGACACUCAGAUGCGAAAGCGUGGGGAGCAAACAGGAUUAGAUACCCUGGUAG